GAAUAUUGGACAAUGGGGGAAACCCUGAUCCAGCGACGCCGCGUGAGUGAAGAAGGCCUUAGGGUUGUAAAGCUCUUUCGCCGGGGAAGAUGAUGACGGUACCCGGAGAGGAAGCCCCGGCUAACUCCGUGCCAGCAGCCGCGGUAACACGGAGGGGGCUAGCGUUGUUCGGAAUGACUGGGCGUAAAGCGCGCGUAGGCGGUUCGGUAAGUAGGAUGUGAAAGCCCGGGGCUCAACUCCGGAUGGGCGUUCAAGACUGCCGAACUUGAGACCGAGAGAGGAGAGUGGAAUUCCCAGUGUAGAGGUGAAAUUCGUAGAUGUUGGGAAGAACACCAGUGGCGAAGGCGGCUCUCUGGCUCGGUUCUGACGCUGAGGUGCGAAAGCGUGGGGAGCAAACAGG
rnacentral:rRNA from 1 species